UACAGAGGUCCCAAGCGUUGUUCGGAUUCAUUGGGCGUAAAGGGUGCGUAGGCGGUCCGUUAAGUCGGAUGUGAAAUCCCUCGGCUCAACUGAGGAAGUGCAUCCGAAACUGGCAGGCUUGAGUACGAAAGAGGGUCGCGGAAUUCCCGGUGUAGAGGUGAAAUUCGUAGAUAUCGGGAGGAACACCGGUGGCGAAGGCGGCGACCUGGGUCGAUACUGACGCUGAGGUGCGAAAGCGUGGGGAGCAAACAGG
rnacentral:rRNA from 1 species